rnacentral:rRNA from 1 species
AAUAUUGGACAAUGGGGGCAACCCUGAUCCAGCCAUGCCGCGUGUGUGAAGAAGGUCUUCGGAUUGUACAGCACUUUAAGUUGGGAGGAAGGGCUUUAGGUUAAUACCCUUAAGUUUUGAAGUUACCAACAGAAUAAGCACCUGCUAACUCUGUGCAAGCAGCCGCGGUAAUACAGCGUGUGCAAGCUUUAAUCGACAUGACUGUGCGUAAAGCGCGCGUAAGUGGUUAAGUAAGAUGGGUGUGAAAUCCACGGGCUUAACCUGGGAACUGCAUUAAUAACUGCUGAGCUAGAGUACGGUAGAGGGUAGUGGAAUUUCCAGUGUAGCGGUGAAAUGCGUAGAUAUAGGAAGGAGCACCAGUGGCGAAGGCGACUACCUGGACUGAUACUGACACUGAGGUGCGAAAGCGUGGGGAGCAAAC